UCCUAGAUUUUAGAAGAUUAUAGAUUUUCUUCUAAAACUUUUAUUGUUUUAGCUCUUACCUUUAGAUAUAUGAUUAAUUUGGAGUUAAUUUUUCUGUAUGGUGUGAGCAGGGAUCUAUACUCAUCUUUUUGCAUGUGGAUACUCAAUGGUUCCAAUACCAUUUUUUGAAAAGAUUAUACUUUCCCCUUUUAAUUUCCUUGGUGCCUUUGUUGAAAAUCAAUUGACUAUAAAUAUAAGGAGUUAUUUCCGGACUCUCAAUUUUGUUCCAAUGAUUAAUAUGUUUAUCUUUGUGGUCAAUAUGCUGUCUUGGUUACAGGAGCUUUAUGUUAAGUUUUACAAUUAGGAAAUUUUUUUUUUCCCCAAAUUGUUUUGGUUGCUCUGGGUCCUUUGCAUUUCCACGUAAAUAUUAGAAUUAGCUUUUCAAUUUCUGCAAAAAAGGCUGCUGGAAUUUUUUUGUGUUGUUGAACCUAUAGAUCACUGUGGGGGAACUACUGACACCUCAACAAUAUUGAGCUUUCCAAUCCAUGAAUAUGAAAUGUUUCUCUAUUAGUUUAGGUCUUAUUUAAUUUUAGCAAUGAUUUGUGGGUUUUGGUGUACAAGUCUUACACUCAAUACCUUCUUGAGGGUUUGUGUGAUCCUGCCAGGGAGACGUUUCUUUUUCUCAGAGGUCUCACUGAAAGCAGUGGAGAGAGAGCAGGAGGCAGUGUGCCAAGUGGGGAAGGACCAGCUCUGAGCUGCGGCAAGCCACGCAACCUCUCGCUGAAAUGAGUGUAAUGCAAAUUAUUUUGCUUCAAGGUUGUGAGGAUUGGAGGUAACGUGUGGAAGGGACUUAGAAGAAUGUCCGUAUGCAGGUGUUCACUAUUUGGUGCCUGAGCUCGUUGGCACCUGUGAUGGUGAUUAUACAGCGCUGUGCGUGCCAAUAAAGGGGACGGGGCCACGGGGGGAGUUGCAGCUCUCGGGACCCUCAUCCUGCCACGGAGUCUCUUUGCAGCUCAGAGUGGGGGCUAGUGAUGCACAGUAGAGAAGUGCAUAUUCCGUCUCAUCUGAUCUCUGAACAACUCAUUGAGUUACCUGUCAUCAUCCACAGUUUACACGAAGAAAACUGGUGUUCAGAGAAAGAGUCAAGUUCCUGGGGCCACAGAGCUGGUAAGAGGCAGAGAAGGAUUUGAACCCAGACUUGUCUAAGUUCAAAGUUUAUGCUUUUCUGCUAGUCCUCACCACACCAUGACCCCACAAGGUCUCAUAAGGGAACCUGCAGGCAGCAAUACAUUCUAAGCAAGGCACAUAACUGACUCCUCAACGGGCAAUGGACACUGAUACGUGAUUAGUAUGUAUUGCUUAUCUUUUUUCUUUUCUUCAGGCUCUCUCAUGAGGUUGCAGUAUCUUGCUCAUCUUUGUUUCUUAUUGUGUUAAAGGUUUGAUUUAGCCUCAAGAUUCAGGAAGGCAGUUAUGACUCCCAUUACCAAGGACUAGGACCUGGGUUGAAGGAGGAUGUUGUUCUCAUGGUGGAAGGCAGAAACCUAAGAGAGCUGAAGCCAACCCAUGUGAAGCAGCGCAAAGGAAACGUGACUUGCCCAAGCUCACUUGGAAGAUGUGAGUGUCAGAGUCAGCUCCAGGGGACCCAUCGGUGCCCAGGGUGACUGAGACUCCCUAUACAGCCACUCCUGGAGCGAGGAGUUCCUUCCAGGAUGAUCUGGAACACGCUGUGUCCACGGCACACUAGUGCAUGCAUAGCGAAGCCCUGGUGGUGCGUGAGCCUGCUCUGGGGGAAUCUCUCCGGAACCCGGGGGGAAACCCACUCGGUGACCCCAUCCCUGGCCUGCUCUUCAGAGCAAUAUUUGAAACUAAAAUUCUAAUGCAGUGAAAGCUUUGAGUGGUCCCUAGGGUGGGAUCUGUCCCUCACAUUGGCACGUGAGGUCACAGCUCAGAGGAAGGACGGAGGGAAAUCGAGUCCUGUCUGUCCUUGGCAUUCUCGUGGAAAGAGUUUCAAGAAAAUAUGGGAUGUGGAAGGUGAGAACUUGGAAUACAAGCACCGCAGACAGACGCCAGGGGUUUCUCCGCUUGAUGCUGUGUAGACGGGCAGCUUGGCCUGGGGUCUGGAGGCGGAGAAGGGAGCGUUAGCCCUGCCCGAGGCUGGGGAGAUCGUCUCUAAGGCUCAGAGUUUCCUAAUGUUUUUGGAAGGCUGUUCCUUUUCUGCACGGGUGGCUAUCAGAGAGAGAAAGGGACGACGGGGCUAUCUCAUCACCGUGUGCCUGCAAGGACAAAAGGACACAUGGAGUGGGACGGAGGGGGUUCCCAGGACGAAGGCUGGCUCUGCCGCGGGCCUUGAAAGGAGCGUCAGCGGUUCCCCCUGGAGCUCCCGAAUCCGCGCCCACAGGUGGGCCCUUGCUGGCCUUCAUUUCCUGCCCAGACGGAAAACGUCGCCGCUGAGGCCUGAGCACAGUUCCAGUGACACCAGCCUGGAGGGAAGCAGUAGCCGAGUGCCUGGUCCCCACUGGGGUCAGAGCUUCGCCUCUGUUGGCAGGCGUGCCCUCCGCCGGAGCUCUUCUCCCUGGGACCCCGGAUGGGAGGCGUGGGGCGGGCACACACCCGCCUUUAGAGGAGUCUAAAUAUCAGAGGCGGGAUUGCUGACCUGUCACAGGGCGACAGCGUGGCUAACCCAUCCUGCCCGUGUGCAGUCCUGGUCCCCCGGUCUCGCUGCCUCCCUUGGCCACUCGCCGUCAGCCCUGUCUUCCCGGCUGGGAGCCACGCCGGGCUCUCUUGGAGACAGGUGCUUGUGCUGUUGCCCUGGUAACAGAACUAUUAAACCAAGCCCCAGCCUCGGGAGUACUUGUGCCUGGUGAGGUAACGUCUGUCA